GCUAAUAUGGUGUAGUGGUUUGAACAUUGGACUAGGACUCUGGAGACCAGGGUUCAAAUCCUGGCUUGGCC